rnacentral:rRNA from 1 species
GCUUAAUACAUGCAAGUCAACUUGACUUAGAUAGCAAUAUCGAAAGUAGGGUGGCGCACGGGUGCGUAACGCGUAGGUAAUCUGCCCUGAGGUCUGACAUAACCCGUCGAAAGGCGGGCAAACAUCAGAUGAUAUAUAGUCACGACAUCGUGGAAAUAUCAAAUCUUCGGAGCCUUGGGAUGAGCCUGCGUCUGAUUAGGUAGUUGGCGGAGUAAUAGCCCACCAAGCCUACGAUCAGUAGCUGGUCUGAGAGGAUGAUCAGCCACACUGGAACUGAGACACGGUCCAGACUCCUACGGGAGGCAGCAGUAAGGAAUAUUGCUCAAUGGGGGGAAACCCUGAAGCAGCAACGCCGCGUGAAGGAUGAAAUACUUUUGUAUGUAAACUUCUGUAAGAUGGGAAAAAUAUUCUCCUCGGGAGAAUUGAUUGUACCAUCAGAGUAAGCCCCGGCUAACUACGUG